rnacentral:rRNA from 1 species
GUGCCAGCAGCCGCGGUAAUACGUAGGGCGCAAGCGUUAUCCGGAAUUAUUGGGCGUAAAGAGCUCGUAGGCGGUUUGUCGCGUCUGCCGUGAAAGUCCGGGGCUCAACUCCGGAUCUGCGGUGGGUACGGGCAGACUAGAGUGAUGUAUGGGAGACUGGAAUUCCUGGGGUAUCGCUGAAAUGCGCACAUAUCUCGAGGAACACCGAUGGCGAAAGCAGGUCUCUGGGCAUUAACUGACGCUGAGGAGCGAAAGCAGGGAGCGAACAGGAUUAGAUACCGUGGUAGUUCAUGCCGUAAAAGUUGGGCACUAGGUGUGGGGGACAUUCCACGUUUUCGCGCCGUAGCUAACGCAUUAAGUGCCCCGCCUGGGGAGUACGGCCGCAAGGCUAAAACUCAAAGGAAUUGACGGGGGCCCGCACAAGCGGCGGAGCAUGCGGAUUAAUUCGAUGCAACGCGAAGAACCUUACCAAGGCUUGACAUGAACCGGAAAGAUCUGGAAACAGGUCCCCCACUUGUGGUCGGUUUACAGGUGGUGCAUGGUUGUCGUCAGCUCGUGUCGUGAGAUGUUGGGUUAAGUCCCGCAACGAGCGCAACCCUCGUUCUAUGUUGCCAGCACGUGAUGGUGGGGACUCAUAGGAGACUGCCGGGGUCAACUCGGAGGAAGGUGGGGACGACGUCAAAUCAUCAUGCCCCUUAUGUCUUGGGCUUCACGCAUGCUACAAUGGCCGGUACAAAGGGUUGCGAUACUGUGAGGUGGAGCUAAUCCCAAAAAGCCGGUCUCAGUUCGGAUUGGGGUCUGCAACUCGACCCCAUGAAGUCGGAGUCGCUAGUAAUCGCAGAUCAGCAACGCUGCGGUGAAUACGUUCCCGGGCCUUGUACACACCGCCCGU